UACGAAGGGGGCUAGCGUUGCUCGGAAUCACUGGGCGUAAAGGGUGCGUAGGCGGGUCUUUAAGUCAGGGGUGAAAUCCUGGAGCUCAACUCCAGAACUGCCUUUGAUACUGAAGAUCUUGAGUUCGGGAGAGUGAGUGGAACUGCGAGUGUAGAGGUGAAAUUCGUAGAUAUUCGCAAGAACACCAGUGGCGAAGGCGGCUCACUGGCCCGAUACUGACGCUGAGGCACGAAAGCGUGGGGGAAGCAAACAGG
rnacentral:rRNA from 1 species